rnacentral:rRNA from 1 species
AGUGAACGCUGGCGGCGUGCCUAACACAUGCAAGUCGAGCGAUUCUCUUCGGAGAAGAGCGGCGGACGGGUGAGUAACGCGUGGGUAACCUGCCCUGUACACACGGAUAACAUACCGAAAGGUAUGCUAAUACGAGAUAAUAUGCUUUUAUCGCAUGGUAGAAGUAUCAAAGCUUUUGCGGUACAGGAUGGACCCGCGUCUGAUUAGCUAGUUGGUAAGGUAACGGCUUACCAAGGCGACGAUCAGUAGCCGACCUGAGAGGGUGAUCGGCCACAUUGGAACUGAGACACGGUCCAAACUCCUACGGGAGGCAGCAGUGGGGAAUAUUGCACAAUGGGCGAAAGCCUGAUGCAGCAACGCCGCGUGAGCGAUGAAGG